rnacentral:rRNA from 1 species
AUUGAACGCUGGCGGCAGGCCUAACACAUGCAAGUCGAACGAGUGGCGGACGGGUGUGUAAUGUCUGGAAAACUGCCUGAUGGAGGGGGCUAACUACUGGAAACGGUAGAUAAUAACGCAUACCAUCGGAUGUUCCCAGAUGGGAUUAGCUAGUAGGUGGGGUAAAGGCUCACCGAGGCGACGAUCCCUAGCUGGUCUGAGAGGAUGACCAGCCACACUGGAACUGAGACACGGUCCAGACUCCUCCGGGAGGCAGCAGUUGGGAAUAUUGAACAAGGGGCGCAAGCCUGACGCAGCCAUGCCGCGUGUAUGAAGAAGGCCUUCGGGUUGUAAAGUACUGUCAGCGGGGAGGCGUUACUCGCAGAAGAAGCACCGGCUAACUCCGUGCCAGCAGCCGCGGUAAUUC